rnacentral:rRNA from 1 species
UGAGUAACACGUAUCCAACCUGCCGAUAACUCCGGAAUAGCCUUUCGAAAGAAAGAUUAAUACCGGAUAGCAUACGAAUAUCGCAUGAUAUUUUUAUUAAAGAAUUUCGGUUAUCGAUGGGGAUGCGUUCCAUUAGUUUGUUGGCGGGGUAACGGCCCACCAAGACUACGAUGGAUAGGGGUUCUGAGAGGAAGGUCCCCACAUUGGAACUGAGACACGGUCCAAACUCCUACGGGAGGCAGCAUG